GCUGGACACGGUGGCGCGUGCCUGUAAUCCCAGCUACUCAGGAGGCUGAGGCAGGAGAAUUACCUGAACCCAGGAGGUGGAGGUUGCAGUGAGCCGAGAUCGCGCUAUUGCACUCCAGCCUGAAUAACAAGAGCGAAACUCCGUCUCAAAAAAAAGUUCAGUUUUGUUUUUGCAAAGCUUGAGGAUUGGUAGUAUUGAUUGAUUGAUUGAGAUAGUCUCACUCUGUUGCCCGGGCUGGAGUGCAGUGGCACAAUCUCAGCUCACUGCAAUCUCCACCUCCCAGGUUCAAGUGAUUCUCUUGCCUCAG
rnacentral:sRNA from 1 species